rnacentral:rRNA from 1 species
CCUACGGGUGGCAGCAGUGAGGAAUAGUGGUCAAUGGGCGCGAGCCUGAACCAGCCAAGUAGCGUGAAGGAUGACUGCCCUACGGGUUGUAAACUUCUUUUAUAAAGGAAUAAAGUGAGGCACGUGUGCCUUUUUGUAUGUACUGUAUGAAUAAGGAUCGGCUAACUCCGUGCCAGCAGCCGCGGUAAGACGGAGGAUCCGAGCGUUAUCCGGAUUUAUUGGGUUGAAAGGGAGCGUAGAUGGGUUGUUAAGUCAGUUGUGUAAGUUUGCGGCUCAACCGUAAAAUUGCAAUUGAUACUGGCAGUCUUGCGUACAGUUGCGGUAGGCGGCAUUCGUGUUGUAGCGG